rnacentral:rRNA from 1 species
GUGCACGCUGGCGGUAGGCCUAACACAUGCAAGUCGAACGGCAGCACAGUAAGAGCUUGCUCUUACGGGUGGCGGGUGGCGGACGGGUGAGGAAUACAUCGGAAUCUACUUUUUCGUGGGGGAUAAUGUAGGGAAACUUACGCUAAUACCGCAUACGACCUACGGGUGAAAGCAGGGGAUCUUCGGACCUUGCGCGAUUGAAUGAGCCGAUGUCGGAUUAGCUAGUUGGCGGGGUAAAGGCCCACCAAGGCGACGAUCCGUAGCUGGUCUGAGAGGAUGAUCAGCCACACUGGAACUGAGACACGGUCCAGACUCCUACGGGAGGCAGCAGUGGGGAAUAUUGGACAAUGGGCGCAAGCCUGAUCCAGCCAUACCGCGUGGGUGAAGAAGGCCUUCGGGUUGUAAAGCCCUUUUGUUGGGAAAGAAAAGCAGCAGGUUAAUACCCCGCUGUUCUGACGGUACCCAAAGAAUAAGCACCGGCUAACUUCGUG